rnacentral:rRNA from 1 species
AUUGAACGCUGGCGGCAGGCCUAACACAUGCAAGUCGAACGAGUGGCGGACGGGUGAGUAAUGUCUGGGAAACUGCCCGAUGGAGGGGGAUAACUACUGGAAACGGUAGCUAAUACCGCAUACCAUCGGCGGUGCCCAGACGGGAUUAGCUAGUAGGUGGGGUAACGGCUCACCUAGGCGACGCUCCCUAGCGGGUCUGAGAGGAUGACCAGCCACCCUGGAACUGAUACACGUUCCAGACUCCUACGGGAGGCAGCAGUGGGGAAUAUUGCACGAGGGGCGCAAGCCUGAUGCAGCCAUGCCGCGUGUAUGAAGAAGGCCUUCGGGUUGUAAAGUACUUUCAGCGAGGAGGCGUUACUCGCAGAAGAAGCACCGACUAACUCCGUGCCAGCAGCCGCGGUAAUAC